AAUGUACUACCGUGAUGUAUUGCAGCUAUAGCCACGAUUCUUUGUGCUACUACCUGCAAACCCCGACUCCAGAGAAAAAGCAAGAUUUUCAAAACCCUAAUCCCCAAAUGGCCAGCUAUUCCAAACCCUAAUUUCUGCGAUUCAGUUCAUCCAGGAAAAAGUUUGUUAGUAGAUCAUGAGGACCAAACAACCGUGCAGGGGAAGAGGAAGGCCACGGAAAACGCCAAAUGUGGUGAGUGAAAGAGUGGUGAGUGAGAGGGUGGUCAGCGAGCGAGUGGUCAAUGAGAACGAAAACGCAUUCUUGAAUUUUGUAAAUCACAAUACUCACAAUGUUGAA